rfam:Brachypodium distachyon strain Bd21 chromosome 3, whole genome shotgun sequence.
AUUAUACUCCCUCUGUCCCAUAUUAAGUGACUCAAGUUGUCUAAAAAUGGACGUAUCUAUAUACUAAAAUACGUCUAGAUACAUGUAAUAUUUCGGCACUUAAUAUGGGACGGAGGGAGUAUAUA